UUGCCCAAACCCUCCAUCAGGGCCAAGCCGGGACCUGAUCCACCGGGCACAGCCUGUGACCAUCGUGUGCCGGGGCCCAGCUGGGACUGACUUAUUCCGUCUGGUGGAGGAGAAGAAUCCAUCUGUUUACUGGGAUCAGAAAAUCUCUUCUCAACAUGGCUCCCAGGGGGCAGAGGCCACAUUCCACAUCAACGUAGUGAGUGACGUCAUGCCCAGGAGUUAUUUCUGCUCUUACAGUAAAGGGCCCAGCUGGUCUGAGCCCAGUGAGCCCCUGGAGCUGAAGGUGACAGAAACAACCCGAGAAAUCACGACCCCACCCACAGGAGAGGGUUCCCUAGACAGCCCCCACCUCCCAGAAUUACUCAGUAGAGAACUAUGUCUGCAUUGGCCUUUCUUGUGUGGUGUUGCUGAUCCUGGUGGUGAUCCUGGCAGAGGCUGGGCACGGCUGGCACAGGUGGCCACACAGACCACAGGGAUGGACACAAGGGAGAUCCAGCCAGAGAGAUUUGACUCCAGGCCAUCAGGAGGACCUCCCCACCAGGGCCCAAAGCUCACACUGGAGCCCAAGAGACCCAGAGCCACCCCUAUUAUGUGAAUUUCACAGUACCCCUGGUGAGGCUGCUGUGUGCAUGAGACUCUGUCCUUGGAAGGGUGCAGGAGCAGUGGGGACCUGGCCUCUUGUGUGGUCCGUCUCCUUCUCCAGGGUUUGGCUCCAGACCUGACCCUCACCCACUCACAGCCCUGUCUCACUCCUCCCUGGGUCUCCCUUCUCUCCUGGAUCUCAGACAGGCCCCAGCUCCCUGCAGCCUCUGCCUCCCUCUUCCUCCUCCUGGAGCCCUGCAUUCUCACCUGCUUUCUGGGGACCGGGCAUGUGCUUCUGAAGACUGUGGUCUCACCCACACCUGUCAUCUGUGGAACUGCACCUGCUCUGUGCCCCUGCUCACCCACCUCUGUUCCUGGAGUGGUCUCUGCCUCCUGCAUCUGUCCCCUCGGGUCCCAGCAGACUUGGAUCUAAAGUCCAGGGAAGGGACUCCAGGCAAAACCACAGUGAGAUACCACCUCACACUCCUCAGGACAAGUAUUGCUGAAAUCAUUUUUAAAUGGUGCGCACUACACUUACUGGGGAGGUCACUUCAUAAGGUAUAUAAAUGUCUAACCCCUGUGCUGUACUCUUGAAAUAAGAUAUUGUAUGUCCAUUGUAACUGAAGAAUAAAUUAAACAUAAUAACCUAUAAACAGGGAAUGUGACAAGGCUGUGGAGGAGCGGGAGCCCCUACGCCCCCUGGUGGGGACGCAAAGUGGUGCAGCCUCUGAGUGUAUCUGCAGAGCUGCUCCUCAGAAUGUGAACAGGGAGUCUCCCUCCAUCCAGCAGCCCCAGUCCGGGUUCCCAUGCAGGGAAGUAAGAGAGGAAACGUGGGCACUUGUACAUGUGCCCCCAGGACAGCGUGACUCCCAAAGGUCAAGGGCAUCACAGACUCCUCAGAUGUGGAGGAGGAAGCAGACCCUGGGUCCCGGUGACGCCUCCUAAGAAGGACCCACUGGCUUUGAAGACGAGGAAAGGGGCCGCGUAUCACAGAAUGUGGGGUCUCUAGACGCUGGAAGACCUGGGAGGGACGCUCCCCGGAGCCUCCAGGAGAGAAGGCAGCCCUGCAGACACCUCAAGGUCAACCGGUUUUCACUCCCGACCUCCCAGGCCCUGAGAUCACACAUCUGGGUUGCUGUGAGCCACCACGCUGGUGCUCAUUUGUCACAGCAGCGCUGGGACUCUCAGGAGCGUGGUGUUCCACACUCUGUGGUUUCAGGAAGCUCCCGAGCUUCAGGAAACGGGGGCACAGGUUUCCUGACAAGCCUCUGACCUCACGUCCUGACACGUCACCCAAACUCAGCCACCAGGGUCAA